rnacentral:pre_miRNA from 1 species
CGAGCCUUUUGCGCGAUCCCUGAGACCCUAACUUGUGAGUUGGUUGCCCUGUCACUGGUUAGGCUCUUGGGAACCGUGCAGAAUGGCAAA